CCUAUCUAAUCCUCCUCCUCGAUUUCUUUCUUUUUUUCUUCUCUCUCAUUUUCACUUCUUUUCUUUCCUUGAUUCGCUGCUGUCCAGAUCUUCCUCUUCGUGGCUCUCCAGCUCCAUUAAUCUCCAUUGAUCAAGAUCUGCCUCUCCGUGGCUCUCCAGCUCCAUUACUCUCCGUUGAUCAAGAUUGGAAGGCAACAGUUGUUCGUCUCAUAUUUUAUGAGAAAAAGGUAGAGAAAAUUUUUAGUGCUUCUUCUCUCCCGCAUUCUCGUUCCUCAUGCCUUAAGAAAUCCAGGAUUGGCAGGAGCAAAAGAACUCAGUAGAGACUCCUCUGGUUGUUGGAUGGAAGGCUAUAGUAGAAACAGUGCAAACUUGGGAAUUGCUAUCAAUAUUUUGGCUGAACUAUGGGGUUUUAGAGACGGAAUUAUGCUUGCUUUGGAGUUAAAUAUUCAAUUCCUAGAUAUUGAAGUUGACUGCCUUGACAUCAUAUCUCUAAUGAAAUCAAAUACUUUCAGUAAUCAUAAUAAUCAUUGUUUGCAAUAUAAUUGUUGAUUACAGAGUCCUAUUGCGGUUGCAAUAGGAAGUGAAUAGAUGUGUAGAUGGGCUAGCUAGAUUGGGAGGCAAGAUGGAAUGGCAUUUUGUAAUUUUGGAUUCCUAUCCUCAUGAACUACCUUUUGCUUUAGAUAAAGAUUUGAGGGGAAAUUUUUUUCCUCGUAAUA